CUGAGGCUUCCCCAGCCAUGUGGAACUAUUCCCAGAAUGGAGCCCUAGCAGAGGAGAAGGCAGACAUCGGCUGCUGCUCUCAGCCUCCUCUCAGCACCCUUGUCUACACGCAGGGGUUCUGCCAAGCUGAGCUGAACCAGAGACCCACUUGGGAGAGACCCAGGAGCUGAGAAGCACUAGCCAGUGGUAGUAGCCCUUCCAGUGGUCCCUCCAAAUUCACGGCCCCAGGAGUGGAGAAGCCGUGCUUGAUGCUCUCUGGCGUCAGCUCCUGAAGGUUCUGAGGGGAGGGAUGCCUUGGAGUGCUGAUUAGGAAGUCUGUGAACUCACUCCAGACCAUGCAAGGAAAGGGAGGUGCCCCAGGUUUGCUUUUUCUGCCCUUCCUUACUGGUGCUACCUUUGUAUUCUCAUCAGAAACCCGGUUGCAUUAUGUUGUCUUCGGCUUCCCUGCAUAUCUCAGCCCUACCUCAAGAAAGGAUGAGGAAGCUGAGUCUCAAGAGGCUAAGUGACCAUAUUCUCACAGCAAGUGAUGGAACGCGAAUCUGAAGCCAGGGGU